GUGGCCGUGCACUCCUUCACCAUCACCUCGUUCUCUUCGCAGAUGGUGCAGGGAAGGCAGGGAUCCACGAAAUUGGCCUCAUCCGAGAAGGUGCCCUCGGGGCACUCCUCACAGACCGUGUCCUGUGAGUCCCGGCAGGGGAACAUGAGGCCAAAGCCCACCUCACAGAUGCUGCACUCCUUGCAGCUCCCGCUCAGCUCAUCCUGGAAGUAGCCGUAGGCGCAGCGGCACACGGCGUCGUCAGACUCCACGCAGGGUGCAGACAUGCUGUGCAGCCCCACGCACUGUGUGCAGGGCUUGCACGGUUCUGUGGCACUCACUGUGUCCGAGUAGGUCACACUGUCCAGGCAGGGCUCGCAGACGGUCUGGUUGACCCCGCAGGGCUGCACCACGCCCUCACCCAGGUUGCAGGCUUUGCAGCACUCACCGCUCGUCGUGUACAUCUUGGUCAAGCACUUCUCCUUGGAGCCCCAGGUGGGUCCCGCCGGCAGCAGGAGCAGCAGCAGCGGUACGAACCCGGCCAUGGUGCGCCGGGGCCGCCUCGCAUCCCCCGGGCUGCCCUCCC
rnacentral:lncRNA from 1 species